rnacentral:lncRNA from 1 species
CCCUCCCCCCAUCCCCGACCCCAUGACAGGCCCCAGUGUGUGAUGUUCCCCACCCUGUGUCCAAGUGUUCCCAUUGUUCAAUACCCACCUAUGAGUGAGAACAUGUGGUGUCUGGUUUUCUGUCCUUGCAACAGUUUGCUCAGAAUGAUGGUUUCCAGCUUAAUCUAUGUCCCUAUAAAGGACAUGAACUCAUCCUUUUUUAUGGCUGCAUAGUAUUCCAUGGUGUAUAUGUGCCACAUUUUCUUAAUCUAGUCUAUCAUUGAUGGACAUUUGGGUUGAUUCCAAGUCUCUGCUAUUGUGAAUAGUGCCACAAUAAACAUACGUGUGCAUGUGUCUUUACAGCAGCAUGAUUUAUAAUCCUUUGGGUAUAUACCCAGUAAUGGGAUGGCUGGGUCAAAUGGUAUUUCUAGUUCUAGAUCCUUGAGGAAUCACCACACUGUCUUCCACAAUGGUUGAACUAGUUUACAGUCCCACCAACAGUGUAAAAGUGUUCCUAUUUCUCUACAUCCUCUCCAGCAACUGUCGUUUCCUGACUUUUUAAUGAUUGCCAUUCUAACUGGUGUGAGAUGGUAUCUCAUUGUGGUUUUGAUUUGCAUUUCUCUGAUGGCCAGUGAUGAUGAGCCUACCUCCCUUUAUUUUUUGAGUUGGAGUCUUGCUUUGGCACCCAGGGUGGAAUGCAGUGGUGCAAUCCUGGCUCACUGCAAUGUCCGCCUCCCAGGUUCGAGUGAUUCUCCUGCUUCAGCCUCCUGAGUGGCUGGGAUUACAGGCACACGCCACCACACCUGGCUAAUUUUUGUAUUUUUAGUAGAGACAGGGUUUCACCGUGUUGCCCAGCUGGUCUCAAACUCCUGGCCUCAGGUGAUCUGCCUGCCUUGGCCUCCCAAAUGGCUGGGAUUACAGGCGUGAGCCACUGCACCUGGCCCAGACCCUUCAUCUCUACUCCCCUAGAAAACAAAAACUAUAAGCUGCCAUAGGGAAGUGGGGAGGGAUUACUGAGAAAGUUCUACCUCUGAGACCCAAGGACACAGGAAGCAUGAAGUAACAAGUAACUGCAGUUUUCCCAUUAGGAGGGGCAAGAGUGUGGGGAGAGCCCCUCGAGGUGUGAGUGCACAGAGAAGACCAGAAACUGAGGGUGAGGAAGAAAUAUUAAGAACGACCCUUGGGAGGUAAUUCCAGGGUUUUAGGAGGCUGAGGCAGGGAGAUUGCUUGAGGCCAGGAGUUCAAGAUCAGCCUGGGCAACAUGGCAAGGCCCAGUCCUGACAAAAAAAAUUUAAAAAUUAGCCAGGUGUGGUGAUGCACAGCUGUAGUCUCAGCUACUUGAGAGGCUAAAGUGGGAGGAUCAAUUGCUUGAACCCAGGAGUUGAAGGCUGCAGUGAGUUAUGAUUGCAACCACUGCACUCCAGCCUGGGUGACAGAGCAAGACGUUGUCUCAAAGAAAGAAGGAAGAAAGAAAAAAAGAAGGAAGGAAGGAAGGAAGUGUUAGAUAUGAGUUCUAAAUUUAUUUUCAAAGAAUCAAUAUGUCAGUAUGUUCAAUUCUUUACCUUCUACUUUUAAACUUAACUUCCUUAUAAAGCAACCUUUUUUGAUUACCUGCUCCACCCUGACUCAUUUCAAUCACCUGCUCCACCCUGACUCAUUCUGAUUACCUGCUCUGUCAUAACCAUUUUUCCUGCCAAAGCACUCACCCCGUUAUUAGCCAAUCAGAAUUAGUUUAGCCUGUGCGGUCUAACUCUACCAAUAGGGGAACAACACAGCAGCAGGGGCCAUGUGGGUCACGGAUAAGAACCCCUUCCCCUCCCUUGUCCAAGUGUGCGCUCACCAUUGCUCUAUCUGUAAGGGCGCACCCUUCUAUGGAAGUACCUUGCCUUGCUGAGAAUUAAAAGAAAAUUUUAUAUUUGAGUGCAAUUGGUUUUGCGGCACUGAAACUUUACAUAUAACAGGAGGAAGGAAAGAAGGGAUGGAGGGAGGG